rnacentral:ncRNA from 1 species
CGGAAUAGCGCCUGAGCAGCAGAGUAUGCUGUUGACGAGGAGGACAGUGAUCGAAAAUUCGGCGGAUGCUGUCCCGGAUACUAAAGUAUUCGUAAGUUUAUCUGUUAAAACUGCCGGGCAACCGGUCUGACAGAGCAGAUAU